rnacentral:rRNA from 1 species
ACACAUGCAAGUCGAGGGGAAACGACAUCGAAAGCUUGCUUUUGAUGGGCGUCGACCGGCGCACGGGUGAGUAACGCGUAUCCAACCUGCCCACCACUUGGGGAUAACCUUGCGAAAGUAAGACUAAUACCCAAUGACGUCUCUAGAAGACAUCUGAAAGGGAUUAAAGAUUUAUCGGUGAUGGAUGGGGAUGCGUCUGAUUAGCUUGUUGGCGGGGUAACGGCCCACCAAGGCGACGAUCAGUAGGGGUUCUGAGAGGAAGGUCCCCCACAUUGGAACUGAGACACGGUCCAAACUCCUACGGGAGGCAGCAGUGAGGAAUAUUGGUCAAUGGGCGAGAGCCUGAACCAGCCAAGUAGCGUGCAGGAUGACGGCCCUAUGGGUUGUAAACUGCUUUUAUAAGGGAAUAAAGUGAGUCUCGUGAGACUUUUUGCAUGUACCUUAUGAAUAAGGACCGGCUAAUUCCGUGCCAGCAGCCGCGGUAAUACGGAAGGUCCGGGCGUUAUCCGGAUUUAUUGGGUUUAAAGGGAGCGUAGGCCGGAGAUUAAGCGUGUUGUGAAAUGUAGACGCUCAACGUCUGCACUGCAGCGCGAACUGGUUUCCUUGAGUACGCACAAAGUGGGCGGAAUUCGUGGUGUAGCGGUGAAAUGCUUAGAUAUCACGAAGAACUCCGAUUGCGAAGGCAGCUCACUGGAGCGCAACUGACGCUGAAGCUCGAAAGUGCGGGUAUCGAACAGGAUUAGAUACCCUGGUAGUCCGCACGGUAAACGAUGGAUGCCCGCUGUUGGUCUGAAUAGGUCAGCGGCCAAGCGAAAGCAUUAAGCAUCCCACCUGGGGAGUACGCCGGCAACGG